GGCCGAAUUGACGGUCCCGAAUUCACAGUUGAUGUGAUCUCGCCACAUCAUCUUAAGUGUAUCUUAAUGGAGGAUUAUUUUUGAUCAUUGAGUCUCAUAUGCAACAUAAACUAUCUACUCUUUAUAACUAUAUACCAUUUCAAUCAGUUCUCUAUAAUCAAAAAGUUACCAAUAUGCUAAUUUAUUACAGUACAAAUCACCGAAGGCA
rnacentral:lncRNA from 1 species